rnacentral:misc_RNA from 1 species
GAUGAAGAACGUAGCGAAAUGCGAUACGUAAUGUGAAUUGCAGAAUUCAGUGAAUCAUCGAGUCUUUGAACGCUCAUUGCGCCCCCUGGUAUUCCGGGGGGCAUGCCUGUCCGAGCGUCAUUGCUGCCCUCAAGCACGGCUUGUGUGUUGGGCCUCCGUCCUCCUCCCGGGGGACGGGCCCGAAAGGCAGCGGCGGCACCGCGUCCGGUCCUCGAGCGUAUGGGGCUUCGUCACCCGCUCUUGUAGGCCCGGCCGGCGCUUGCCGACACAUCAAUCUUUUUUCCAGGUUGACCUCGGAUCAGGUAGGGAUACCCGCUGAACUUAAGCAUAUCAAUAAGCGGAGGA